AGGUAAUGAAGGGAAGUUUUCCAUGUGCCUUCUUAACUACCCUAUCAGCUUCUGAGAUCCUUGGAAAUGUGUACCAAAGUCCCUCCUUUCCUCAGUAUUUCUUCAGGUGUCUUUUUUUUGUGCAGUGACUAACCAACUACUCAUCUAAUGUCUCCAAUCAGUAAAGUUGCUGAAAAUUGUAGUUGAUCUAGAUCACAAGGUGUCGGACCCCAACAGUGUACCUGGCAGGGUACUGAAAAUCUAUGCCAACCAACUGGCUGAAGAGUUCAAGGACAUCUUCAACCUCUCACUGCUGCAGUCGGAGAUUCCCACCUGCUUCAAAAGGGCAUCGAUCAUACCGGUGCCCAAGAAGAGCAGUGUGAGCUGCCUCAACAACUAUUGCUCAGUAGCACUCACAUCUACUGUGAUGGAGUGCUUUGAGAGGUUGGUCAUGGCUAGAAUUAACUCCUGCCUGAGCAAGAACCUGGACCCGCUGCAAUUUGCCUACCACCACAACAGGUCUACAGUGGACACAAUCUCACUGGCUCUCCACUCGGCUCUGGAGCACCUAGACAACUGCAAAACAUACGUCAGGCUGCUGUUUAUCGAUUACACCUUGGCAUUCAACACCAUCAUCCCCUCAGAACUAAUCAACAAGCUUCAAAACCUGGGUCUCUGUACCUCCCUCUGCAACUGGAUCCUCGACUUCCUUAUCGGGAGACAACAGUCAGUGCGGAUCGGUAGUAAUCGCAGACAAUCAACACAGACAAUCCUCACUGACAAUCAACGUAGGUGCACCUCAAGGAUGCCUGCUUAUCCCACUGCUUUACUCUGUCUACACUCAAGACUGUGUCACCAGGCACAGCUCAAAUGCCAUCUAUAAGUUCACCGAUGACACCACUGUUGUUGGCAGAAUCUCAGAUGGCGAUGAGGAGACAUACAGGAGUGAGAUAGAUCAGCUGGUUGAGUGGUGUUGCAACAGCAAAUGUGCACUCAAUGUCAGCAAGACCAAGGAAUUGAUUGUGGACUCCAGGAAGGGGAAGUCAGGAGAACACACACCAGUCUUCAUUAAGGGGUCAGUGGUGGAAAGGGUGAGCAGAUUCAAGUUCCUGGGCAUCAACAUCUCACCGAGGAUCUAUCUUGGACCCAACACAUUGAUACAAUCACACAGAAAGCACAUCAGUGGCUCUACUUCAUUAGAAGUUUGAAGAGAUUUGGUAUGUACCAAAGACUCUUGCAAAUUUCUACAUAUGUGCAGUGGAGAGCAUUCUGACUGCAUCACUGCCUGGUAUGGAGGCUCCAAUGUGUAGGAUCAAAAGAGGCUGCAGAGGGUUGUAGACUUAGCCAGCUCCAUCAUGGACACAACCCUCCCUGCCAUCGAGGACAUCCUCAAGAGUGGCAUCCAUCAUUAAGGACCCUCACCAUACAGGAUAUGCCCUCUUCACAUUACUACCAUCGGGGAGGAGGUACAGGAGUCUGAAGACCCACAUUCAAAGUUUCAGGAACAGCUUCUUCCCCUCUGCCAUCAGAUUUCUUAAUAGUCCAUGAACCCAUGAACACUACCUCAUUAUUCCUGUUUUGCACAAUUUAUUUUAUUUUGUAACUUAUAGUAAUUUUUAUGUCCUGCACUGUACUGCUGCCACAAAACAACAAAUUUCAUGACAUAUGUCAGUGAUAA